AACGAACGCUGGCGGCAUGCCUAACACAUGCAAGUCGAACGAAACCUUCGGGUCUAGUGGCGCAUGUGGGCGUCACGCGUGGGAACCUUCACUUAGGUUCCGCAUAACUCCCCGAAAGGGGUGCUAAUACCGGAUAAUGUCUUCGGACCAAAGAUUUAUUGCCUUUGGAUGGGCGCGCGUUGGAUUAGCUGGUUGGUAGGGUAAAAGCCUACCAAGGCGACGAUGCAUAGCUGGGCUGAGAGGAUGCUCACCGACACUGAGACUAAGACACGGCCCAGAAUCUUACGGAAGGGGGGAGUGGGGAAUAUAGCAAAAGGGGGGGAAGGAUGAAGGAGCUAUGACGGGUGAGUGAUGAUGGGAUUAGGGAAGUAAAGUUCUUUUACCCGGGAUGGUAAUGACGGUACCGGGAGAAUAAGCACCGGCUAACUACGUG
rnacentral:rRNA from 1 species